rnacentral:rRNA from 1 species
AUUGAACGCUGGCGGAAUGCUUUACACAUGCAAGUCGAGCGGCAGCACGGGGGCAACCCUGGUGGCGAGCGGCGAACGGGUGAGUAAUACAUCGGAACAUGCCCAGUCGUGGGGGAUAACACUUCGAAAGAAGUGCUAAUACCGCAUACGUCCUGAGGGAGAAAGCGGGGGAUCUUCGGACCUCGCGCGAUUGGAGUGGCCGAUGUCAGAUUAGCUAGUUGGUGGGGUAAAGGCCUACCAAGGCAACGAUCUGUAGCUGGUCUGAGAGGAUGAUCAGCCAAACUGGGACUGAGACACGGCCCCGACUCCUACGGGAGGCAGCAGUGGGGAAUUUUGGACAAUGGGGGCAACCCUGAUCCAGCAAUGCCGCGUGCGUGAAGAAGGCCUUCGGGUUGUAAGGCGCUUUUGUCAGGGAGCAAAUCCUUGUGGCUAAUACCCACCGGGGAUGAGAGUACCUGAAGAAUAAGGACCGGCUAACUACGUGCCAGCCGCCGCAGUAAGAC